rnacentral:lncRNA from 1 species
AUAAGCUUCAAAAUGGGAAAGGGAGGCAGAGCGCCAUCCUGCAAAUUGCUCUAUCACCUGUGAAGUGCCAUGAAACCAUGAAAGGGCCUUCCUUUUUGAAGCAAAGGAUGAAUAAGGAAAUAUUUCAUCUGUGCUGAGCAUAGAAGAGGAAGUUGGUUUUAAGACACAGAUCACUUAUCUUCUGGAUGAAAGACAGAUCGGAUUUCCAAAACUUCCAUUUUCCCAUUUCAUGUCGUCCGCAAGGAAAACGGCUGAAGAUGAAGACAGCACACUUUGAGAGAUUGAAUAAACAUCCCCCAAACAGCAGAAGGAGUAGCCAGAACACAGAUUUACUUGCCUAGCUUCAAAUCCAGUAUGUUUACCAGGCAUUCAGGACUCUUUGUAAUUUUCUUACUGAUGUAGAAUUCAUUGUAAUAUGUGUUGGAAAUGUCUUCUCCCAGGAAGUGUUGAUGUUUUCAUGGACAUCAUCCUUAGAUGACAGGAAUUCCUCAAUUUUCUAAUAAUAUUUUGAUUCCUGAGAUUCUUCUCUCUGCUGCAAAUCAUGAUGCUUACCCUUAUGGAAAAAUAAAAGAUGGUGUGAGAUGAACCCUGGCCACACUCUCCUUACCGUCUAGAAGUGAAGAUGAGGUUAGAGAGUCUCUACAAUCUCUUUCUUCCAAAGAGCUGUCCUCCAUCGACACCGAACACCUGUAGUUUUAAUACAGCUUCCGCACACAGAGUUUCCUUGCUUUCUCUUGCUUGGAUUUUGGAUUAUAUCAUUACAAGGUCAUUGAAGUUUAUUACAGGGAAACCGAUGUCCAAAGAGUAUCAAGAAACUGAAGCUUCCCAGAGCCCAACUCCUCGGCUUCCUGGCACCAGAAUCCACCAUCUAGCACGAAGGCAGACAACCAAGGACAUUAACCUGCAGAUCCCCUCAUCUCAUCAUCUACCCUCUCUGCUAGCAGUCUGACAAAGCCAAACACAGUCUGGUGGGAAAGCACUGACCAGCAAGGUCACGGGCUCCCCUUCCCUACAAGCAGCAAAACUUUAAAACCCUUUAUCCCCUUCUUAAUGGAGAGCCAGAAGUCCCUAAGCCAUUAGCCAACUGGUAUUCCCUUUGCCUGGCAAAGAAAAUAAUGAAACCCUUUUUUUCCUUUUCACCCAAAACUCUGUUCUCAUUUGGAUUGGCACUGAGUUCGGAGACCGAACUUUCAGUAACAACCUCACAAUUUACAAAUGUGUGGAAAAACUCUCUUUUCCCCCAACUUUCUGUUUUGAUAAAUUUCAAACCAGCAGCAAAUUUGAAAGAAGAGUAUAGUAUAAACACCCAUGUAUUCUUCAUAUAUUCACACACAUUUUUGCUGAACCAUUUUUAAAUAAGUUGCAUAAACCAUGACUCUAAAUAGCUCUGUAUGUAGCUCUCAAAAAUUAGAACUGAAAAAAAGCAUGAGGAUGUUUUCCAACAUAAUCACAAUAAUUACAUAAUUAUAACUCUCAAGGGUUUUUAAAUUGAUAAAAUAGUCCUAUUUUAUGUACAGUCCUUUACCAAAUGGCCUCAGUUGUCCCAAUAAUGACCUUUAUAGCUAUUUUGUUGUUGUUAUAUUGAAGCAAGAUCCAAUCAAGGACUGCAUGUUACAGUUAACUGUCAUAACUCUUUAGUCUCUUCACAUUGAAAACUUUGCCCUGUCUUUUAAAAAAAUUCUCGUAUAAUAUUGAAACUUUUGAAAAACCCAAGUCAGCUGCUUUUGUGGUAUAAUAAUUGCAUUUAUCUAAUUGGCAUCUCAUGCUUCAAUUCAGAAUUAAACAUUUGCAGUAAGAAUGCUACAUGGUUGGGGAUGGAUUCUGCUCAGUUAUCUUACUAGGAGUCAUAUAAUGUCAGUUUGAUCUAUUAUUGGUGAUAUUUGUUUUCUCCAUUGUAAAGGUACUUUUUGCCCGUUGUAAUUAUUUUUUUAAACUCUAUUUUAAAUAAAAUUUAAAUAAACCUACCUAUUUUUUUUUU